rnacentral:rRNA from 1 species
AGUGAACGCUGGCGGUAGGCCUAACACAUGCAAGUCGAACGGCAGCACAGUAAGAGCUUGCUCUUACGGGUGGCGAGUGGCGGACGGGUGAGGAAUACAUCGGAAUCUACUUUUUCGUGGGGGAUAACGUAGGGAAACUUACGCUAAUACCGCAUACGACCUACGGGUGAAAGCAGGGGAUCUUCGGACCUUGCGCGAUUGAAUGAGCCGAUGUCGGAUUAGCUAGUUGGGGGGGUAAAGGCCCACCAAGGCGACGAUCCGUAGCUGGUCUGAGAGGAUGAUCAGCCACACUGGAACUGAGACACGGUCCAGACUCCUACGGGAGGCAGCAGUGGGGAAUAUUGGACAAUGGGCGGAAGCCUGAUCCAGCCAUACCGCGUGGGUGAAGAAGGCCUUCGGGUUGUAAAGCCCUUUUGUUGGGAAAGAAAAGCAGCAGGUUAAUACCCCGCUGUUCUGACGGUACCCAAAGAAUAAGCACCGGCUAACUUCGUG